rnacentral:rRNA from 1 species
GACGUAGGGGGCGAGCGUUGUCCGGAUUUAUUGGGCGUAAAGCGUGCGUAGGCGGCUGCGCAAGUCGGUUGUGAAACCCCGGGGCUCAACCCCGGAACUGCAUCCGAUACUGCGUGGCUAGAGGUAGGUAGGGGAGAUCGGAAUUCCUGGUGUAGCGGUGAAAUGCGCAGAUAUCAGGAGGAACACCGGCGGCGAAGGCGGGUCUCUGGGCCAUAACUGACGCUGAGGAGCGAAAGCGUGGGGAGCGAACAGG